UACGUAGGGGGCAAGCGUUGUCCGGAAUCAUUGGGCGUAAAGCGCGCGUAGGCGGCCCUGUAAGUCCGCUGUGAAAGUCAAAGGCUCAACCUUUGAAAGCCGAUGGAUACUGCAGGGCUAGAGUCCGGAAGAGGCGAGUGGAAUUCCUGGUGUAGCGGUGGAAUGCGCAGAUAUCAGGAGGAACACCAAUAGCGAAGGCAGCUCGCUGGGACGGUACUGACGCUAAGGCGCGAAAGCGUGGGGAGCGAACAGG
rnacentral:rRNA from 1 species